rnacentral:piRNA from 1 species
UGGAAUUCAGGAACAAUGUUACAGAGGUA